rnacentral:piRNA from 1 species
UGGUGAACAGAGACUGUGUACUCACGG